CGGGCUGACCGCGCUCCCGGGCGCCGCUGAGCCGCCCCGCCCGCGGUGGAUGCCGCCGGGGAGCGGGCGGAGCGCGCCGCCGGGGAGAGGGGCUGCCGCGGCCGCCGGAGCCCACGUACAUGCGAGUGCCCUCUCCGCUCACCAGCAUGCUUUACUUCCAGAUGGUGAUCAUGGCAGGGACCGUGAUGUUGGCUUAUUACUUCGAGUACACGGACACCUUCACCGUCAACGUGCAAGGCUUCUUCUGCUACGAGGGCGCGUACCGAAAGCCCUACCCGGGCCCGGAGGACCGCAGCGCCGUGCCGCCGGUGCUCCUCUACUCGCUGACCGCAGGCGUGCCCGUGCUGGUGAUUAUCGUUGGAGAAACUGCAGUCUUUUGUCUACAGUUAGCUACAAAGGAUUUUGAAAACCAAGAGAAAACAAUAUUAACUGGAGACUGUUGUUAUAUAAAUCCGCUGGUGCGCAGGACCAUCCGAUUCCUUGGAAUUUAUGCAUUUGGACUGUUUGCUACGGACAUCUUUGUAAAUGCUGGACAAGUAGUAACAGGGAAUCUUGCACCCCAUUUUCUUGCACUUUGUAAACCCAACUAUACAGCACUUGGAUGUAAACAGUAUACCCAAUUCAUCAGUAGCGUACAUGCCUGCACUGGAAAUCCAGACCUUAUCAUGAAAGCCAGAAAGACUUUCCCAUCCAAAGAAGCAGCGCUAAGCAUAUAUGCAGCUAUGUAUCUGGCUAUGUAUAUCACCAACACAGUGAAAGCCAGAGGAACAAGGCUUGCAAAACCUGUUCUGUGUUUGGGUUUAAUGUGCUUGGCCUUCCUCACUGGAAUCAACAGAGUAGCAGAGUAUCGAAAUCACUGGUCAGAUGUAAUAGCAGGAUUUGUAAUUGGAAUAUCUAUAGCAGUAUUUUUGGUUGUUUGUGUGGUAAAUAACUUCAGAGGACGUCAGCCAGAACAUGAACAUUCUCAUCUGGAUAAUCUGACCCAAAUGCCCAUGAUCAGCAUACCCAGAGUAGAAAGCCCUUUAGAAAAGGGAUAAAGACUUCAUGUUAACUUCAUGUUUCUACCUGGUUUGAGAACCUCUCACUCAUGAUCAACAAUGUUCUUUUCCUGAGACUUGGCCUAGUUUGAGAUGCUGUGGGGAAAGCUGUGGGAGAGUGUGGGAGGAUGGUGGCUGGAGUAAUGUUUGCUCUGCUUGAAGAACCACAUCACGGCCUUUGCAGAAGUCACAUGAUGUUGACGCUGAUGUAUAUUCACUCCACUGGACUUCAUCUCUUUUCACAGCCCACACAUGAUAUUUGCAGAGUAUCAGAAAUAAGAAAUUUUUAGAAGUCCACUUUCUGACUUGAUUUUUACAUCACUAAAAUGAUACCAACAUUUUGAAGAAUUCUUAAAUAUUAGAGCGUCACUUUACUUUCUAGCAAAAAUAUUAACUGUUUACUUUUAUGAUGGAAUGGGACAAACUGAGCACUAAUUAUCUGACAUUACCCUCUAUUUUGGCUUCUCAUUGUUUUCAAUGGUUCAUGUACCUAUUCCAACAGUACUUUGUAUUUUGAUUUAACUUUGAUUUUUAAAAUCUACAUUUUUAAUUCCGCAUGAACUUGUUUCCAUUUGAGGCAAUUUCAAUGUAUAAAAACUAGACAAAUAUUAUGUUCUGUAUGAAAAUGCUGUUUGCACAUUGUAUUACGCUGUAUUCCAUGUAAGAUAUCAUUCAAACGGUAUGUUAUAUGUAAGACUGGUGCUUCUGCUUUUGAAGAGAAAAAAAUGCCAAUUUUUACUGUAAUAAGUAUUGUAUCAUAAUUAAAAGUUUAUUUAUUUGGAUAUUUUCCUGACAUAAUUGUAGUUGAAUUGUUGUUUUGUAGUUCUUGAAUGUCUUGGAUGACUUAUAUGUAUCUAGGUUAAAAGAAGUGAGAAUAAUUUAGAGAGUUUGAUCUUUGAUAUAUUCUUUAUUACUAAUGAUAUCCCAGGAAAGGUUAAGGGCUCCGUUCUUAGCUUAGCAUAUCUGAUGGGAAGCCGUGCUAUUCAUAAAUCAUUUAAACAAAUUACUCAAGGCAGCCUGCAUCUUCUCAUGGUUGUUGUAACCCCUGAUACUAUGCUGGGAGAAUGGGUGCUAAGAUAAGAAGAGGGUCACCAGCUUAGUGAGAAAAGUUCAUCUGAGUUUCUACUCUCCAUUUUCAUGGAAAACUCAUGGAAAAACCAAAAUGGCUCAAUUAAUUUUUUUUUUCAGCCUAAGUGACCAGGACAGGCAGACUUUCUCUCUACAAAUCCUUUUAUCUCUGUGUUUGAGGUUCAUAUUCUUAAAACAAAAAAGAAAGAAAAAAAAAAGAAAAAAAAUCCUCUGCCAGCCUGAAUGGUGUUGACAAAUUGAUUUUUCUUCAACAUCAGCCAAUGUUACCAUAUCUCUGUUAUUGCUGUGAAUAUUCAGAUUAAGCCCCCCUUUGGAAGAGCCUUGCUGACUAUUCAUGGUGAAGUUGUCCUAUAAAAAUUGAGCACCAAAUGGAUCUGAAUAUUCUAAAUACUGGAGACAUUCUUUACAUGUACCAGCCAGUGUCCCUCUGGCAAGAGCAGAUAAAAUGCAGCACUAGAGAAACAUUGAGAACACUCUUGGUCAGUGAAGGCUGUUGAGCAUUUUAGGCCUUAAAUUUUCCAGAGUUCACUGUAUUUCCUGUGCAUUAAUCAUUGUUAGAGUAUGUUUGAAACACAAAGAUGUAGAGUCAGGUGUAUUUUUUCUAUGAUGAAUUUUAAUGCAUUCUCGUAUAGUCAUCAGAUAAUGCCUGCUUUUACUUUGUUUUAACCUCUGCUUUCACUAAAAUAUAACUACCUAAAGAGUGCUUGGCAAACAGGGCAAGGCCAAGUCAUCUCUGAGUGCAAUAGAGCAUAUGCCACAAAGUCAUUGUGCUAAGCUGAGAAUUGAGAUUGAAGAAAUAUAUCUGUGGGGAGAAAAAGACCUAGAAUAGAGUCCUUAGCUACAGCUAGGUAACUUAGGUGAUUGAAAAUCCACCUUUAUUAGACUAUCAACUGUGUUUACAAAAUUGUAGUAGAUCCAAAGUUUGUAUCACCGUGUUAAAGUCACCCUGCUCUUAGUCUAGCUAGUUAGGUUCCAAGGUACUAAUGAUUUCUCUGUGUGCAGAUUUAAAUGAAAUGUUCACUCAUUUUUGCAUGGUAGCAAAUCUGCAUUUUUUAUAUCUGAUUUAUAAGAUUACCAAGAGAUUCUUUUAUGUUAAAAGAGAUGACUCUUUUUCAGUGUACUGUAUAUCAUCAGCUUGUAACUGGUCUCUUUCUCAGGAUCUUUCCCAGUCAAAUAUUUGGGUUAAAAUUAUCAUACUAUCUCUGUGAACCAGCAGUGAGAAAACAAAAAGAGAGACACUCUGCUGUAUAAUGUAUUUUUAAAUAAAAUAAUUUUUCAUUCA